AUGAACGCUAGCGGCAGGCUUAACUACAUGCAAGUCGAGGGGCAGCAUAAACAUUGCUUGCAAUGUUUGAUGGCGACCGGCGCACGGGUGCGUAACGCGUAUGUAACCUACCUCAAACAGGGGCAUAACACUGAGAAAUUGGUACUAAUUCCCCAUAACACUCUGGGAGGCAUCUCCUGGGGUUGAAAGUUCCGGUGGUAUACGAUGGACCCGCGUCUGAUUAGCUAGUUGGUGAGGUAACGGGCCCCACCAAGGCGACGAUCAGUAGCCGGCCUGAGAGGGUGAACGGCCACAUUGGGACUGAGACACGGCCCAAACUCCUACGGGAGGCAGCAGUGGGGAAUAUUGGACAAUGGGGGAAACCCUGAUCCAGCGACGCCGCGUGAGUGAAGAAGUAUUUCGGUAUGUAAAGCUCCAUCAGCAGGGAAGAAAAUGACGGUACCUGACUAAGAAGCUCCGGCUAAAUACGUG
rnacentral:rRNA from 1 species